rnacentral:rRNA from 1 species
ACAUGCUUACAACACAACGUUAAUGCACCAGAUCCCAUUAGAAAUCCAUAGCUAAGCAUGCUCGGGAUAGAGUAGUACUGGGAUGGGUGAUAGCUCGAUAAGUCCUAGUGUUUUACAUGCC